rnacentral:tRNA from 1 species
GCCCGAGUAGCUCAGUUGGUCAGAGCGAACGGCUGUUAAAAAUCGCAAAUUUAAAAGGCGGAAACCGUUAGGUCGCUGGUUCGAGUCCAGUCUCGGGCG